UUAUUCUUUAAACUAGUAGUUGCAGUCUCUCCAAAGCUUAGUUCUACAAGUGGGCGGCGAAGAACUGUGAGAAUGAUUCAACCACUUCUGAUCUGGAGCUUGUUGGCAGAGCGAUUUGCGACAGUCAAAGAUGUUCUUCUGAAGGAUUUCUGUUUGAUUCUCGUGUUUCUGAUUGAAUGAUUUCUGCCUCCAAUAAGUGUGGUGGAAGAUUAGGCUGUCAAACCUCUUUCCUACCUUUUGGCCCUUCCGUUUGAUGUAUAACAGCCCUAGUCUUCCACUCCGCUGCUACUGCUCGCUACAAAUUGAUCAAUUGGUAUGAUUGGCUACCAAUCCCAGGAUUCUGACCUCUUCGUGGAUUCAGUUUCACCUUUGUUGCUUGCUCCCUCAGAUCUUCCGGAAGAGAAGUGUUCCAAUUAUGGUUGAUGUUGUCUUAACUUCUUGCUUCUGCGAUUAGGGCUGGGUCAAUUUCCCAAAUGAUGCCUCCUGAUUUCAAAGAUUCAACUAUUGAUAUGCAAUCCGAUUCGAUUAUGGAUUUGUCUAAGUUCCUUGUUAAUAUCAUUGCUUCUCUAAUAGCAUAAGCCUUUGCAACCAGACUCGAUCUAACUUUGAUUUUUUUGGCAUUACCUCUUCUUAUGUGUCCCUAGCUUCUCUUAUGAUCGUAGUUGAAGCUCCUGUAUUUGUAUUUGUUGAGAAUGCUGCAUCUACAUUUAUCUUUAUCCAGUUGUUAGGUGGGGCGGGGGGCUUUCCAAACCAUAUGUAUUUUCCCUUGCCUUCUUCGUUGUGGACAUUAUGCUGCUAGUUCUAUUUGUGUUUUUGAUGAACUCUGUUUCUUGGAA